GAGAAUGCUGCAUGAAGCUUCAACCUCAGUUAUUUUACAAUGGCAAUCUUCUUGGACCUAGAAGCUGCAGUUGCAUAUGCAUCUGUGGAGGUAUGCCUUCAGUGCAAGUGAGAUACAUCCACAUCGUGAGAUCUGCAGCUGCUGGAUACUGUGACGUGUGAAAGGGUAUUUGUGAAGAGGAGCUAUACUACUAAUCCUGAUUUAACAAAACAGAAACAAGAGGUUCAGAUUUUCAGUGAAACUUAAGACAGCUGUUGCCUGCUGAUUUCUGAAUGUCUUACCCAAUGUCAAGAAGAUUUUGUAAGAAAAUGGAGACUUGAACUAAACUGAUCUUGCAUUCAAAAAAUGGUGAUGGCUGCAGAACCACAGCUGAGGACACAAUGCUAGAUGACCGAACACAUCACAACUUUUGCAUUAUUUAUGUGUGCAUGGUCUUCUGGGAGAUAGCAACACAGGAAGACAGAAAAUCUGUCACAUUUGAAGUAGCCUGAAGAAACUGAACAGGAAAACGCAGCAUUUGAAGGAUGGACCUCUUAAGGACACUUUGGAUGUACCACUGUAUAGGACUGAAUCUCUGCUAUUCAUCAUGAAGAUACCUAAUAAAUAUUUUUUUCUUAAACUAUAUGCAUAGUAAAGGAAACUUAAAA